rnacentral:misc_RNA from 1 species
GGUCCGUCGCACAGGCGG